rnacentral:rRNA from 1 species
UACGGAGGGUGCAAGCGUUAAUCGGAUUUAUUGGGCGUAAAGAGCGCGUAGGCGGGGUGGAAAGUUAGAUGUGAAAGCCCGGGGCUCAACUCCGGACCCGCAUCUAAAACUACCAUCCUAGAGGAUGGACGGAGAAAAGGGAAUUCCACGUGUAGCGGUGAAAUGCGUAGAUAUGUGGAAGAACACCAGUGGCGAAGGCGCUUUUCUAGUUUAGACCUGACGCUGAGGCGCGAAAGCAAGGGGAGCAAACAGG